rnacentral:rRNA from 1 species
AACGCGAAGAACCUUACCAAGGCUUGACAUACACCGGAAAGCAUUAGAGAUAGUGCCCCCCUUGUGGUCGGUGUACAGGUGGUGCAUGGCUGUCGUCAGCUCGUGUCGUGAGAUGUUGGGUUAAGUCCCGCAACGAGCGCAACCCUUGUCCCGUGUUGCCAGCAGGCCCUUGUGGUGCUGGGGACUCACGGGAGACCGCCGGGGUCAACUCGGAGGAAGGUGGGGACGACGUCAAGUCAUCAUGCCCCUUAUGUCUUGGGCUGCACACGUGCUACAAUGGCCGGUACAAUGAGCUGCGAUACCGCGAGGUGGAGCGAAUCUCAAAAAGCCGGUCUCAGUCCGGAUUGGGGUCUGCAACUCGACCCCAUGAAGUCGGAGUCGCUAGUAAUCGCAGAUCAGCAUUGCUGCGGUGAAUACGUUCCCGGGCCUUGUACACACCGA